rnacentral:rRNA from 1 species
AGGGUUUGAUCCUGGCUCAGAACGUACGCUGGCGGCACGCCUAAUACAUGCAAGUCGAACGAAGUAGCAAUACUUAGUGGCAGACGGGUGAGUAACAUGUGGGUAUCUUCCCUUUGGUGAGGAAUAACACGAGGAAACUUGUGCUAAUACCUCAUAAGUCUUUACGGAGAAAGCUUUAUGCGCCAAUGGAUGAGCCCGCACUUGAUUAGUUUGUUGGUGAGGUAAUGGCUCACCAAGACUUUGAUCAAUAGCUGAUUUGAGAGGAUGAUCAGCCACAUUGGGACUGAGACACGGCCCAAACUCCUACGGGAGGCAGCAGUAGGGAAUCUUGCACAAUGGGGGAAACCCUGAUGCAGCGAUGCCGCGUGAGUGAAGAAGGCCUUUGGGUUGUAAAGCUCUUUCGUCGGGGAAGAAAAUGACUGUACCCGAAUAAGAAGGUCCGGCUAACUUCGUGCCAGCAGCCGCGGUAAUACGAAGGGACCUAGCGUAGUUCGGAAUUACUGGGCUUAAAGAGUUCGUAGGUUGUUAAAAAAGUUGGUGGUGAAAUCCCAGAGCUUAACUCUGGAACUGCCAUCAAAACUUUUUAGCUAGAGUUUGAUAGAGGAAAGCAGAAUUUCUAGUGUAGAGGUGAAAUUCGUAGAUAUUAGAAAGAAUACCAAUUGCGAAGGCAGCUUUCUGGAUCAUUACUGACACUGAGGAACGAAAGCAUGGGUAGCGAAGAGGAUUAGAUACCCUCGUAGUCCAUGCCGUAAACGAUGUGUGUUAGACGUUGGAAAUUUAUUUUCAGUGUCGCAGCGAAAGCAAUAAACACACCGCCUGGGGAGUACGACCGCAAGGUUAAAACUCAAAUGAAUUGACGGGGACCCGCACAAGUAGUGGAGCAUGUGGUUUAAUUCGAAGAUACGCGCAGAACCUUACCAACACUUGACAUGUUCGUCGCGACUUUAAGAGAUUAAAGUUUUCGGUUCGGCCGGACGAAACACAGGUGCUGCAUGGCUGUCGUCAGCUCGUGUCGUGAGAUGUUGGGUUAAGUCCCGCAACGAGCGCAACCCUCACUUUUAGUUGCCAUCAUUUAGUUGGGCACUCUGAAAGAACUGCCAGUGAUAAGCUGGAGGAAGGUGGGGAUGACGUCAAGUCCUCAUGGCCCUUACGUGUUGGGCUACACACGUGCUACAAUGGCAUUUACAACAGGACGCAAAACGGCGACGUUAAGCAAAUCCUAAAAAAAUGCCUCAGUUCGGAUUGUACUCUGCAACUCGAGUACAUGAAGCUGGAAUUACUAGUAAUCGCGGAUCAGCGCGCCGCGGUGAAUACGUUCCCGGGUCUUGUACACACCGCCCGUCACACCAUGGGAGUUGGUUCUACCUUAAGGCAAAGGUUAAAAACUUUGACCACGGUAUAGUCAGCGACUGGGGUGAAGUCGUAACAAGGUAACCGUA